UACGUAAAAAUAAGUAAGAAAAGUAAUAACAUCAAUGCGCAUAUUAACAAAUACAAAUAUCCGUUCCGUCAAGAACAACUUUUUGCAAAUUAUUUGCGUAUUACUUGCUUAUGCUUAGUUUCAUCCAUUCUACUUUCACACGAACGAUUGUACGAAACAUACCAGAUGUGCAUAUAAUCAUAUACAUAUAUAAUUAUACAUUUUUAUGGACACAUUCUAUUAUUAAUAAUACAUAAUUAUAUUUUUUAUCGGUGUCUAUAGACACUGUUAAAACAACAAAAGAUGGGAGAAAGUGAUGUAGCUUGGACCUAUUUUACCUUAGAAUCAUGUCGAUUUCAGCACUUUAUUCAAUGAUAUUUUUGCUUUGUUAAUGCGAUAAUUCGUUGUGUUUACCACCGUAAAUAAGAAUUCUUAAAUUCUUAUAAUAAUUCUGGAUAGGAAUAAACGAAAAGAAAUCGCUAGAUAGCGCGCUGAAAUCGACAUGAAUCCAAAUUAAAACAGGUCCAAUUCUAGUAGUAGAAAUUGAUUGGCUGUUGCCCAAUAUUUGGUCAGCGUCGAUCAAUGGUCAGUCAACCAAUUUGUGUUGCGCGGGAAAGUACCUUCCCUCUACUUUAUAAACACAGUUAAUAUCAAUGAAAUUAAUUAAGAUAAGAAAUAAAAAGCAAUCGAUAUAAAAUUAUUUAGAAGAAAUAAGUAUUAUUAAAAAUAUUAUUGAUAAGAAAAAUUAAAAACAAGAAAAGAAAAGAAAAGUACGUAAUUUUGAACUGAUAUAACUGUAUGUUCGCACAAAUUUCUCCAUUCUGUCACUGUAUAAUCUUGGUUGAAAGUCAAAACCAAUAUGGUAUAAACCGUCAGGUGAAGGUGCAUUGGGACGCUGUAUACCAAUCAAUGUAUCAUUGGAUAUUAUCAUGUUAUUUAUUUUCAAUAGAGACUUGCUAAUUAUAUAAACUAUCGGUGCGGAUCGGGGUGUGCGUCGGGAUGCAUUUAUCGAUACAAAUAUUUCGACGUGAAUAACAUAUGUUUCAUUCGAAUCGCCCGACGACCCUCUCGUGCGCUCUCCUGAUAAGAUCACCGACAGGCAGUAGCUCUUUUCACUUACUCAUGCAUUCAUUGUGCAAACAAUUAUCCUACGUUGAGAUUUCCGAUAAAACUUCUCAUUCAAUUAGCAAGUACGACUUGCUAAUUGCUACUUGAUAUCUAAAUAUAGCUGUCAUAAUAUACACAUAAUUAUAAUUUUAAGGGGAGGUUCUAGUCAAAAUCGAAAAAAAACAUGUUUUUUUUUUGCUUUAUUUUCAUCCUUAGGGUCUUGAAAAUGUGUAGCCAAAAGGAUAUUUCCCUAUAUAAUUUAUUUUAGGAGUUAUAGCGUAUUAGACGAAAGAGUGCGUCGGCCGAAAAACAGGUAUAAACGCGCGCUCGGAGCGGCUUCAAGGGAGGGGCAUUUUUCACCGCCUAAGCGGUGUAUUUACUACAGGUAGCAAGUUUGUGCCUGUCUCAACGAAUUCCUGUACAUUCCUGUCUAAUGUGUGCUCGUACACCCUCGGUCAGACGUGCGUUCUAUACUUCUAUUUACAGUAACGUAUUUCAGUUGCGUUUCGAACGUGGGGCAAGUAAGUGUUUCAAAAAUGCCGAACACACGAAAAUCAGUGGGAACUGUUCGACCAUAUCGGCCUCGAAAGAAGAAAUUCAGUUAUAAUCCCGAUAAAAUAGAAGCAGAAACUGAGUAUGCUAGUACUUCAGCGAAAAAAAGUUAAAGACGCGAGUUACGAUGAUAUUGAAAUUGAUGUUGGCCAUAAUAACGUUAUUAUAAAUUUUCUGACUGUUUUCACCUUUUUGUCUCAGUGUUUAAAAUGUAAAAAAUGUGACGGUGAUGUGACAUUUUCUCAUACGUGUGACCGUGGACUUGGUUUUAAUUUAGUAAUCAAGUGCAAGUGCAAUGAUCAACAACGCGUUUCUUCGAGUCCUUUAGUAAAUGGCGCAUACGAAAUAAAUCGCCGUUUGAUGUUUGUUAUGCGGAUUCUGGGAUUCGGAUUACGGUCGAUAAAUACUUUUUAUUCCCUAACGGAACUGUCUUCAGGCUUUGCAAAUGGUACGUACUAUGCAUUUAUCACUAAUCUGCUCGAGGCAGCAAAGAGUACAUUCGAAGUUAUUCAACGUAAAGCGAUUGCUAAAGAAAGACAGAAGAACGCGGAGGCGGGAAAUGAAGAAACACAUUUGAGCGUGUCGGGCGACGGUUCGUGGAAAAGACGUGGCUUUUCGUCGUUAUUUGGAAUUGCAACGCUGAUCGGAAAAUAUACGCACAAAGUGUUGGAUUUUGUUGUAAAGUCGUCAUUCUGCCAAAGCUGCAGCAACUGGGCCAGCAAAAAAGGAACUAAUAAGUACGAUAUCUGGCAUGAUACUCAUGAACAACAUUUCAACAUAAAUCACAUUGGAAGUGCUGAUAAGAUGGAAGUAGAUUGUAUGAAAGAAAUGUUUUGUCGAUCAGAAUCGCACGGCGUGAAAUAUGCUACAUAUAUCGGCGACGGUGACACGAAAACUUUCCAAGCUCUCCUCAACUUCCACCAUGAACCUGCCCUUACAGCAUCAGUUCAAGAAGCAAUUCCACCCGUAUAUGAAGCUCUUUCAAGUGACGAUUUGCUGCAAAGAUGCACAGGUGGAAACACGCAAAAUGACAACGAAAGCUUCAACGCUUAUCUGUGGAAACUGGUUCCCAAACACCUUCAUUGUGGCGAACAAACCAUCAGAAUAGCAGCAUACAUAGCUUCCGGCAUCUUUAAUGAAGGUUAUUCAUCUAUAUUAAAAACCAUGUAGACGUUGGGAAUCGUAAUCGGAACAAACAGCAGAAACUUCGCUGCGAAGACUGACGAAGAGCGCGUCAAGUCAGCGAACGCGAGUCAGUCAGAGUUGAUGUAAAAGGCCAGAAUUGAAAAAAUUAGCGCCCAAGUGCAGCAAAACAUGCUCUUUGAGGAUGAGGAAGGAACCCUGUAUAGUGCUGGAAUAGCUGAUUAGAUAUCACUUGGCAGGACCGUAGAGUGUGCAGCGCACAUUGCUUAUGGCCGCGCACGGCUUUAUUCAGUGAGGGCUGGAGCCGUCAUUUUGAUUUUUUUGGGGGGAAAAAAUGUUAUUUAUAUUUUCAAAUAUGUACUAAUAAAUGCAAUAAAAAGUUUUUUCAAAAAACAUUUACGUUCGCUCAAAAAAAAAAAUCAUGAAAUUACGUUAAUUUGCGGGCCUUUUGACUAGAACCUCCCCUUAAACAUGCAGUUGUUAAUCUCCACAUCUAAUGUUUCAAUAACACAUUUGGUUAUUACGAAAAUUGCUAUAGAAGCAUGAUUAAGAUAAUUUUUUAGACUUUUGUGGCAAAUCAUUUCAAUCACACACACGCAUGCCCACGUACACACGCAUACAGCGCUUACAGGUAAAAUAUUACCUGUGAAUAAAUUGGCCAGUGACACUACAGUUUUAUUAUUCGUAUAAGUGAUUAAACUAGUAGACAACAGUAACUUAUUAGCCAGUUUAUUACAGUUAAUAACAUUUUUGUGAAUUCGCAAAUUAAAGGUUGUAAUAUUUAUCUCGGUGAGUUUUACAACGCAUCUCGUGAUUGCCUAAAAAAAUAUAUUUCCCGAAAAUUACUAAAAAAACACAAAUUGUGAAAACGCAUUGCGAAACUCAUCGGAAAAUAGUGUUGUAACCUUUAAUCUACCGAUUAUAGAACAUAUGAACGGGAUCUGCAAAACAUGAUAAGCGCAAUAUUAAAUUACGCAAUCUGUUUUUCAUCCGAUGCAUAAUUGCGUUUGCAAAAUCAAAGAUAUGUCAUAAGAUAAUCAAGAUAUUAGGCAAGUGUGAUAUUAGGCAAACGACAUUUAAUCGUUAUCUUCAAUAUACGAAGGCAUUCGUGAUCUGCUACAACGAAGACCCAUAAUGCGAUUAUAAUUUCCUAUUGUUUCCUGGUCGCUUUCUAUGCGGACGUGAGGUUUCCAGACGUUUUCUUCAUCGGUGUGAUCGAAUUACCUAACUUUGUUAAGCAAGCAUGCAAAUUCAAGCGAUUUUCGUAAACAAUGUACGAUUAACAUUAUAAACGCAACUAGGCCAUUUUUUACUCACUUUUAAAUACUUUUUUUUUCCAAUUUCUAUGGAAUUUCAUCACUGGGAGGCUUUCUUUAUCAUAAAACAAAUAAUAUUAUAAGUUUCAAAAAAGCCCAUGGAUAAUUACAAACAAAGUGGGUUAAAAAUGACCAUCCGCGAUUCUAAUAUUAGAGAUGUGUGGUGCAAUAAUGACGAUUUCUCUUAUCACGAAUCGUGAUUGGACUCGUGCUGUCACAGCGAAUAAAUCUCUCCACACGAAUUGAAUGAAACAAACGGGAGUUUAAGUAACCUAAGACCGGUAUUCAUAGUCGGAUCUUAUAUUUAAGGACGCCUUCAGUUUAUCUUCGGUUACUCUAAGGCGCAUUUCAUCGAUUCACGAAGCAUCUGAAAAUAAACUUAAAGACAAUAUUAAGUAUAAGAUCUGACUAUAAACACCAACCUAAGUUCAGUUUUUUUAAAACCUGAUAGUCACAGAUCUGCCAACGCACGGCGGAGAUUUAUGCGGUGAGCUAAGCUGCCGACUGUGUAUCGGUCGACACACAUAUCAGGAAGUAUAAAAUUGAUUUAAUUAUUCUACGCCAUGAUACAUAUUAUUUAUGAAAUAUUUAUGAAAUGAAAUAUUAAUGACUGUUCUAGUAUAUGCUCAAUAUGAGAUAAUUUCUUGCUACUCCCUGCCAGGCAUUAAAAUUGCAAAAUACAUAGUAGUAUACAUAGCAAACAAAGUUAUUACGACGACGAGGAAAAAUAAGAAAUGUAAGAGAAUGGAAAAAUAGAGAAAUGGUAAGAAUUUUUCGAGGAACAUAAUACGCGCGCGAUUAGCCCUUUGGAUACUAACACCAUUAUAGUGGCUCUCCGUUGGAAGAUUUUUUAAGAAGCCACUUUAAUGGUUCUUUUGUAAAACUUGCAUUGAGAUUCAGUGGAUAACUUGUUGUUAUUAGUACAAUAACUUGCUCACUUUCUUAACACUGUAAAUACACAGCUCAUUGAUUCAUUAGCUAUUAUUUUACUAAAAUAUUAUCAUUAAACUAUACUAACGCAGCUACAGUGAAUCAUAUAGUGACAAACAUCGAUCGGACUGCUAUUAUUCAUUAUUACGCGCGUUCAACGGCGAAGUUGCACAGCGGUAAUAGAGUUCUGUCAUCCAGGUCAGCUGUAGUUAAAGGGUUAAUAUACGGCGAUAAAUUAUAUUUAAUCAGCGCGUGCUUUCGCUCAACAGACGAUACGUAAGUCGCGAGUUAGAAAACGUUCUUCACAAUUCUGCCAGGGUUAACGAUCGAAGCGUGACCGACAAUUUUGUACGGUAUAUUAGUUGCACCCAAGUGACAGCGAACAUCGCGAACUCUGCAGUCCCUUUUCUCUCACAGGACGCAGCGAGAUCAAGCAGAUGGGCGCUGACAUAGCAUCAUUCAAAUGUCACGGUGCGCAACAAUUGGAGAAUAAUAAUCCUUUUCAGGAAAAUCACCCGCCGGCUUUAAGUUUUCAUCAUUCGUGCGGGAAUGUUAACUGAUAAAUUCGCAUGCAAAAAGCAUAAAGAAGAAAUGAUGAUGACUACUGGCGACGUGACAUGAUUAUCUCGAUGAGUCAAUAAUCGUUGGAAUUAUACCUUGCAACACAGUUGAGAACUGUAAAAGCAUAUAAUAAUAAAUAAUAUAGUCUAUGUUUUACAUAAGUUUAAUAGAUAAGAUAAUCUAAUUUGCAAUGUAUAAAAUACGUCAGUUCCGUGUUCGUUGUGGAAGAUUCUAAUAACGCAUAAUUCAAUAUAGUUCACACGGAGGAGAAAAACGAGGGACAAGAAGAAAAUCGAUAAAUAGUCUUUAUUAUCAAAGUUAAUGUUUGUUAACAAAAUAAGUGCUUUGAUAAUAAGUACAAAAUAAGUCGCCCUUGUUAUCAAAGUAGAAACGGAUAUGAGAUCGAACGCAGUAUGUAACUAUCUUUGUUUUUUGGUCAGCAAUACUGCGAACUGGAGUUUUCUUAUGUGACAACUUAUUCUAAAAAAUGUGUAACAAAACAUUGACAGUAAUGACCGUCUUCAACAAAACCUAGCUUCGAGCUCUAACUUCGAACUCUGACUUCGAGCUCUGGCUUCGAGCUCUGGCUUCGAGUUUUUAUUAUUUCUAGGAAAACUUAAAUAAUGAUGUAUCAAGAAAUGUUAAAAUGAAAAUUAUGCUUUCUGGCGAUGCGGAUGUUAUGAUGACUAACAGAUUAAUCUUAUUUUAUCUUGCAACAAUUUAUCUAGAGCAUUACAAUUGAUUAUUAUUUAUAUCAAUUUAAUAAAUAAGAACGGCUGACUGAGAGUAUUCAAAAUGCGUUAAUCUUAUCUUGUUGGAGAAUUCCGGCAACCUUCACGAGAAGAGGAAAAGUGCUAAGAUCAAGGAAGAAAAUUACUAAGUAGCUGUCCUUAUUAAAGAAUAAAUAAAUACAAGAACGGAAACUGAAACAGAUUAUCAGCUGCUUUAUCACUUAUUUGCUACAGUUGUUAUCAUUUUCUUAAUGAACCCUUUGCACUCCGGGCCUUUUUCGCGCGGCGCACCAGCAAAGGGGCACAUGGUAAGGAAAAGUGCUAAGAUCAAGGAAGAAAAUUACUAAGUAGCUGUCCUUAUUAAAGAAUAAAUAAAUACAAGAACGGAAACUGAAACAGAUUAUCAGCUGCUUUAUCACUUAUUUGCUACAGUUGUUAUCAUUUUCUUAAUGAACCCUUUGCACUCCGGGCCUUUUUCGCGCGGCGCACCAGCAAAGGGGCACAUGGUAAGGAAAAGUGCUAAGAUCAAGGAAGAAAAUUACUAAGUAGCUGUCCUUAUUAAAGAAUAAAUAAAUACAAGAACGGAAACUGAAACAGAUUAUCAGCUGCUUUAUCACUUAUUUGCUACAGUUGUUAUCAUUUUCUUAAUGAACCCUUUGCACUCCGGGCCUUUUUCGCGCGGCGCACCAGCAAAGGGGCACAUGGUAAGGAAAAGUGCUAAGAUCAAGGAAGAAAAUUACUAAGUAGCUGUCCUUAUUAAAGAAUAAAUAAAUACAAGAACGGAAACUGAAACAGAUUAUCAGCUGCUUUAUCACUUAUUUGCUACAGUUGUUAUCAUUUUCUUAAUUAACCCUUUGCACUCCGGGCCUUUUUCGCGCGGCGCACCAGCAAAGGGGCACAUGGUAAGUGAGAGUCACCACUGGAAUGCAAAGAGUGCUACACGAUACUUUCUUCUAAUGGACAUCUAGGUCUAAAGGUCUACGUUGAUAUUCUGGCCGUUCUAUUUAAACAUAAUGUUACAUGAUAUUAAUGUUAAAACAGGUUCAAAGUUUUAGAUAAAAUAGUCGUUGCUAUCUUUAAUUCGACAACAUGUUAUGACAUCUAUUAAAUUUUCGAAAUUAUGAGUCCGUGGUACUUACGGUAUCAGCGUAUAUUUCUUAAAAUGUUGCGGGACGUGAUAAGCGAGCUAAGUAACUAAAUUAUGAACGUUUACAUGUGACUACACAUUACGUAAACACACGUGGUAUAUUUUCGUUUUAGCAAUUACUGGUCAAAGCCAUUGCUAUUCAGGUGCAAGGCGCUACUUAAUGUUCCGCAUA